rnacentral:rRNA from 1 species
AGAACGAACGCUGGCGGCAUGCCUAACACAUGCAAGUCGAACGAGACCUUCGGGUCUAGUGGCGCACGGGUGCGUAACGCGUGGGAAUCUGCCCUUAGGUUCGGAAUAACAGUUAGAAAUGACUGCUAAUACCGGGUAAUGACGUAAGUCCAAAGAUUUAUCGCCUAGGGAUGAGCCCGCGUAGGAUUAGCUAGUUGGUGGGGUAAAAGCCUACCAAGGCGUACGAUCCUUAGCUGGUCUGAGAGGAUGAUCAGCCACGACUGGGACUGAGACACGGCCCAGGACUCCUACGGGAGGCAGCCAGGUGGGGAAUACGUUGGAACAAGUGGGACAAAGGCCUGGAUCCAGCAAGUGCCGCGG